rnacentral:rRNA from 1 species
UUGAACGCUGGCGGCAUGCCUUACACAUGCAAGUCGAACGGCAGCACGGGAGCAAUCCUGGUGGCGAGUGGCGAACGGGUGAGUAAUGUAUCGGAACGUACCUUUCAGUGGGGGAUAACGUAGCGAAAGUUACGCUAAUACCGCAUAUUCUGUGAGCAGGAAAGCGGGGGACCGUAAGGCCUCGCGCGAUGGGAGCGGCCGAUAUCGGAAUAGCUUGUUGGUGAGGUAAAGGCUCACCAAGGCGACGAUCCGUAGCUGGUCUGAGAGGACGACCAGCCACACUGGAACUGAGACACGGUCCAGACUCCUACGGGAGGCAGCAGUGGGGAAUUUUGGACAAUGGGGGCAACCCUGAUCCAGCCAUUCCGCGUGAGUGAAGAAGGCCUUCGGGUUGUAAAGCUCUUUCAGCAGGAACGAAACGGUGGCCCCUAAUACGGGCUACUAAUGACGGUACCUGAAGAAGAAGCACCGGCUAACUACGU